rnacentral:rRNA from 1 species
AUUGAACGCUGGCGGCAUGCCUUACACAUGCAAGUCGAACGGCAGCACGGGAGCAAUCCUGGUGGCGAGUGGCGAACGGGUGAGUAAUAUAUCGGAACGUGCCCAGUCGUGGGGAUAACGUAGCGAAAGCUACGCUAAUACCGCAUACGAUCUAUGGAUGAAAGCGGGGGAUCGCAAGACCUCGCGCGAUUGGAGCGGCCGAUAUCAGAUUAGGUAGUUGGUGAGGUAAAGGCUCACCAAGCCGACGAUCUGUAGCUGGUCUGAGAGGACGACCAGCCACACUGGGACUGAGACACGGCCCAGACUCCUACGGGAGGCAGCAGUGGGGAAUUUUUGGACAAUGGGCGCAAGCCUGAUCCAGCAAUGCCGCGUGCAGGAUGAAGGCCCUCGGGUUGUAAACUGCUUUUGUACGGAACGAAAGGUUCUAUUAAUACUAGGAGCUCAUGACGGUACCGUAAGAAUAAGCACCGGCUAACUACGUGCC